ACUCUGGGAUAAGCGUUGGAAACGACGUCUAAUACUGGAUAUGACUGCCGGCCGCAUGGUCUGGUGGUGGAAAGAUUUUUUGGUUGGGGAUGGACUCGCGGCCUAUCAGCUUGUUGGUGAGGUAAUGGCUCACCAAGGCGACGACGGGUAGCCGGCCUGAGAGGGUGACCGGCCACACUGGGACUGAGACACGGCCCAGACUCCUACGGGAGGCAGCAGUGGGGAAUAUUGCACAAUGGGCGAAAGCCUGAUGCAGCAACGCCGCGUGAGGGAUGACGGCCUUCGGGUUGUAAACCUCUUUUAGUAGGGAAGAAGCGUAAGUGACGGUACCUGCAGAAAAAGCACCGGCUAACUACGUGCCAGCAGCCGCGGUAAUACGUAGGGUGCAAGCGUUGUCCGGAAUUAUUGGGCGUAAAGAGCUCGUAGGCGGUUUGUCGCGUCUGCUGUGAAAUCCCGAGGCUCAACCUCGGGCUUGCAGUGGGUAC
rnacentral:rRNA from 1 species